UUCUCCUCACUCUAACCCAAGCCAAACUCUUUUUGUGCAAACUUUGACUUUUUUCAAAUUAGAAACCUAGGCCUUAUGCCUUUGAUUUUUCAAAAUCUUUUCAUUAAUACUCAUUAUGAAUAGAUCUUAAUCCAACUAUGACCUCAUUUUGUAAAUAAACCUAACUUGUAAAUACAACUCACUUCAAGUUGAUUUUGUGGUUCC
rnacentral:lncRNA from 1 species